rnacentral:rRNA from 1 species
GACGAACGCUGGCGGCGUGCUUAACACAUGCAAGUCGAACGGUGAAGCCUUUCGGGGUGGAUCAGUGGCGAACGGGUGAGUAACACGUGGGUAACCUGCCUCUUGCUCUGGGAUAAGCCUAGGAAACGGGGGCUAAUACCGGAUAUUCCCGCAUUGUCGCAUGGUGGUGUGGGGAAAGCUUUUGCGGAUUGGGGUGGGCUCGCGGCCUAUCAGCUUGUUGGUGGGGUGAUGGCCUACCAAGGCUUUGACGGGUAGCCGGCCUGAGAGGGCGACCGGCCACACUGGGACUGAGACACGGCCCAGACUCCUACGGGAGGCAGCAGUGGGGAAUAUUGCACAAUGGACGCAAGUCUGAUGCAGCGACGCCGUGUGAGGGAUGACGGCCUUCGGGUUGUAAACCUCUUUCGUCAGGGACGAAGCCGUGAGGUGACGGUACCUGGAGAAGAAGCGCCGGCCAACUACGUGCCAGCAGCCGCGGUAAGACGUAGGGCGCGAGCGUUGUCCGGAUUUAUUGGGCGUAAAGAGCUCGUAGGCGGCUCAUUGCGUCAACCGUGAAAACCAGCAGCUCAACUGUUGGCUUGCGGUUGAUACGGGUGGGCUGGAGUUCGGUAGGGGAGACUGGAAUUCCUGGUGUAGCGGUGAAAUGCGCAGAUAUCAGGAGGAACACCGGUGGCGAAGGCGGGUCUCUGGGCCGAUACUGACGCUGAGGAGCGAAAGCGUGGGGAGCGAACAGGAUUAGAUACCCUGGUAGUCCACGCUGUAAACGUUGGGCGCUAGGUGUGGGGG